UACGUAGGGUGCGAGCGUUAAUCGGAAUUACUGGGCGUAAAGCGUGCGCAGGCGGUGAGCUGUGUCCGAUGUGAAAGCCCCGGGCUUAACCUGGGAAUGGCAUUGGAAACUGGCUCGCUGGAGUGUGGCAGAGGGGGGUGGAAUUCCGCGUGUAGCAGUGAAAUGCGUAGAGAUCCGGAGGAACACCAAAGGCGAAGGCAGUGUCCUGGGGAGUACCUGACGCUCAGGUGCGAAAGCCAGGGGAGCGAACGGG
rnacentral:rRNA from 1 species